rnacentral:tRNA from 1 species
UCCUCAGAUCCUCAGUGGUCUGGGGUGCAGGCUUCAACCCUGUAGCUGUUUAACGACAGAGUGGUUCAAUUCCACCUUUCAGGC